AUUGAACGCUGGCGGCAUGCCUUACACAUGCAAGUCGAACGGCAGCACGGGUGCUUGCCCCUGGUGGCGAGUGGCGAACGGGUGAGUAAUACAUCGGCACAUGUCCUGUAGUGGGGGAUAGCCCGGCGAAAGCCGGAUUAAUACCGCAUACGAUCUACGGAUGAAAGCGGGGGACCUUCGGGCCUCGCGCUAUAGGGUUGGCCGAUGGCUGAUUAGCUAGUUGGUGGGGUAAAGGCCUACCAAGGCGACGAUCAGUAGCUGGUCUGAGGGGACGACCAGCCACACUGGGACUGAGACACGGCCCAGACUCCUACGGGAGGCAGCAGUGGGGAAUUUUGGACAAUGGGCGAAAGCCUGAUCCAGCAAUGCCGCGUGUGUGAAGAAGGCCUUCGGGUUGUAAAGCACUUUUGUCCGGAAAGAAAUCCUUGGCUCUAAUACAGUCGGGGGAUGACGGUACCGGAAGAAUAAGCACCGGCUAACUACGUG
rnacentral:rRNA from 1 species